rnacentral:rRNA from 1 species
GAUGAACGCUGGCGGCGUGCCUAAUACAUGCAAGUCGAGCGAACAGACGAGGAGCUUGCUCCUCUGACGUUAGCGGCGGACGGGUGAGUAACACGUGGAUAACCUACCUAUAAGACUGGGAUAACUUCAGGAAACCGAAUCUAAUACCGGAUAAUAUAUUGAACUGCAGGGUUCAAUAGUGAAAGACGGUUUUGCUGUGACUUAUAGAUUGUCCCUCGACGCUCUAGCUAGUGGGUAAGGAAACGGCUUACCAAGGCUAAGAUGCGUAGCCGACCUGAGAGGGUGAUAAGCAACACUGGAACUGAGACACGGUCCAGACUCCUACGGGAGGCAGCAGUCGGGAAUCUUGCGCAAUGGGCGAAAGCUUGACGAAGCCAAGCAGCGUGAGUGAUGAAGGUCUUCGGAUCGUAAAAAUCUGUAAUUAGGGAAGAACAAAUGUGUGAGUAACUAGGCACGUCUUGACGUUACCAAAACAGAAAGCCACGGCUAACUACGUG